UGGGGGAUCGUCUAACGGUCGGACAACAGACUCUGACUCUGUCUAUGAGGGUUCGAUUCCUUCUCCCCCAGCCA
rnacentral:tRNA from 1 species